UCAUAGAAAGGAUACAAGCCUUAUCAUACCGCUAUGUCUGAAUAGAGUAAUUACAGGUAUUUUUGAUACCUGAUUGUAGACUGCGGAGGCGCGUCUCUGUUUCUGUGUUUGCUGGUCCCGCUCUGGCAAAGGUGUCCCGCGGCUGAGACUCUGGGCUCACCUGCACGGGUCUGCACGGGUCUCCGGAAGGGGCUCCCAGCGCGCCCCCGGCCUGCGCGGGGGCUUCUGGGAGAUGUGGUCCGUCCGCCGGCCCGCGCGCCUCCGUGCGCCUCGGCUCAGGCCGCUGGUUCUUCUUACUCCGCAGGGCGGGUGCGCAGAGCUGGUUCCGCCCAUGAACGUCUCGCGGCGGCCUCCGGACCCAAGACCUCCAGGCGGCUGCCUGGAGAGAAGGGGUUCCCGCCCCGUCUGCAGCACUGCCGUUUUUCUCUCCAAUUCGUAUCUGCGCUUCACAUCUGCCCGGCUGUCUCCCUCCGACUGUGGAGAUGUUCUGCUACUCUCAGUUCGGCUGGUGCUCCAAGUGAUCUGACCUCAGCAGAGCUGUGUCUAAGGGGCAAGGAAGCCCAAGGUCUGAAUUUUGGGCAAAUCUUGCAGAGAUUGAAGAGAUCUCCAACUGAACUAUUGUUAAACUGGACAACUGGAAUGCAUAACUUUAGAGACAGCUCUUGGAAUGACGACUCCCCAGUGCCGUCUCCUGGACUUUGUAGUUCCUCUUACUUGAAGUCUGUCUUCCACAGCCUCUGCACUUCCUGGCUUUUGAUUCUAGUGAGUUCUGUGCCUCCUCCCCGCUGGGACUUCAGUGUGGGACCAGCAGGUCUCAGGCCCUUUGGGAGGCCCUGCUUCUCUCUGACCUCUGCUCUAACUGCCUUCUCUGGCCAGCUCUGUUGGAACAGAAGGUGUUGCCUGUUGAUUUCCGCAACUCUCAGGCCAGGGAAUGACAACUAAGAAAGAGCCAAGGAAUGACAAGAAAGACACAGACACAUUAGAAGCUUGAUGCAGCAUCCCCUGCCCAGACAAACCGGCCUCCUUCUUUAUUGUCUCAACUACCCAUCCUCCUGGUUCCGGUUGCCAGGGGCCUGUGGCCAAGUUCCUGCUCCGUAUCAGCAAGUAACCCUCUGCUUGGAGGCAGGCUCGUGUUUGCACGUAGGCUGUCUUGACUUUUCGUUUGAUACUCGGUCAGCACCCUGGCUCGUCUGCAAGCACAGGAUGUUCCAGAGCCGAAGAUAUCUCGCCGCCAGGAACGGUCAGCCUGGAACCGGCCCACAGUCAGGGGCGGUCAGCCUGGAACAGGCCCUUCAGUUGCCCGCUAGCCUGUGGCUGCAGGGACAUAGCAGAGGGCUGGACAGCCAUCUCUUACCCUCGAACCGCAGAGUUCCGACAUGAGUAUUUUACUGCUGUGUCUUUCUGUGAACAGGAUUGUGCUCAUUUUCUUAAUCUCCCUCUAUCCACUAUUUCUUCUCAUCAUUAUUCACUGGAAUUAAUUUUUAAGGAUCUGACUCAUUGUUGAUUUAGACUCACCCCGUCCAGUUAUGGAGUUUUGUCCUUCCCUUUUUGUGAUCAGUUUUAUUUAAACUUUUAGAGUUUAUUCAAACUAGAAAUUCCUUCUAUAGUGCUUUUCAGGGAGGCCCGGUUUUUAAGAUCUCUGGGUACCAAAGUAACCUUAUUCUAUAGUAUAUUCUCCAUUGUUUCUUCCAGUGAUUUAGUCAAUUGCAGGUCAAUUUCUUCUUUGUCAUCAGUGACACAGUAAUUUGGCUUUUAAUUUCAAAGAAUAUUUCUUCAAUUUUUUUUUCUUAAUUGAUUUUCCUAGAUAGGCAUGACCAGUUGUUUUCUUUUUCCCCACUGUGUUUAUAAUUUAAAUGGAUUUUCACAUCUCUGGGCCUCAGAGUGCAACUAGGAGUAUGGGAAAUAGGAC
rnacentral:lncRNA from 1 species